rnacentral:rRNA from 1 species
GACGAACGCUGGCGGCGUGCCUAAUACAUGCAAGUAGAACGCUGAAGGAGGAGCUUGCUCUUCUGGAUGAGUUGCGAACGGGUGAGUAACGCGUAGGUAACCUGCCUGGUAGCGGGGGAUAACUAUUGGAAACGAUAGCUAAUACCGCAUAAGAGUAUAUGUUGCAUGACAUUUGCUUAAAAGGUGCAAUUGCAUCACUACCAGAUGGACCUGCGUUGUAUUAGCUAGUUGGUGGGGUAACGGCUCACCAAGGCGACGAUACCUAGCCGACCUGGGAGGGGGAGAGGCCACACUGGGACUGAGACACGGCCCAGAGUCCUACGGGAGGGAGCGGUAGGGAAUCUUCGGCGAUGGACGGAAGUCUGACCGGGCAACGCCGCGUGAGAGAAGAAGGGGUUCGGAUCGUAUAGCUCUGUUGUAAGAGAAGAACGAGUGUGAGAGUGGAAAGGUCACAAUGUGACGGUAUCUUACCAGAAAGGGACGGCUAACUACGUG